GAUGAACGCUGGCGGCGUGCUUAACACAUGCAAGUCGAACGGAAAGGCCCAAGCUUGCUUGGGUACUCGAGUUGCGAACGGGUGAGUAACACGUGGGUGAUCUGCCCUGCACUUCGGGAUAAGCCUGUGAAACUGGGUCUAAUACCGGAUAGGACCACAUUUUGGUUGGUGUGGUGGAAAGUUUUUCGGUGUGGGAUGAGCUCGCGGCCUAUCAGCUUGUUGGUGGGGUAAUGGCCUACCAAGGCGUCGACGGGUAGCCGGCCUGAGAGGGUGUACGGCCACAUUGGGCCUGAGAUACGGCCCAGACUACUACGGGAGGCAGCAGUGGGGAAUAUUGCACAAUGGGCGCAAGCCUGAUGCAGCGAAGCAGCGUGGGGGAUGACGGCAUUCGGGUUGUAAACUCCUUUCGCUAGGGACGAAGCGUUAUGUGACGGUACCUGGAGGAGAAGCACCGGCUAACUACGU
rnacentral:rRNA from 1 species